UUUAUUCGGCGACUUCGCGUUCUAUUUUUGUGUGUGACGGCAAGGAGAAUAUAGUUGUGACGGUUCUGUCCGGCGGAAAAGAUUUUAUUUCCCAAAUAAAUUGAUGAUAUUCGUUUGAAUCAUCGAAAUAUAUCUUGAAUUCCUCCCGAUUGCGGUUAAUCUUCAAGAUGCAGAACGGAGAAGAUGUGCCGGCGGCCACAGAAACCACCAAGAAGCCGAUGCCAGAAGAAGUGACGAAGCAGUCUUUCAGGCAGAAGGUAUGGCGACACCUGGAGACCAACGGCCUGGCCAUGUUCCCUCGCCCGGUCUACAACCGCAUCCCCAACUUCAAGGGCGCCCCUGAAGCCGCCGCCAAGUUGGCAGAACUGGAGGUGUUCAAGAAUGCCAACACCAUCAAAGUCAACCCCGAUAAGCCGCAGGAGCCUGUCAGAGUGAUUUGCCUAGAGCAGCAUAAGACGGUGUACGUGCCAGAGCCCAGGCUGCAGAACGGGUUCCUGAACCGGCUGGAGCUGCCUGACGGGGAGACGGGGCCCGCCGCCAUCCGCAAAGCCGUCUCACGUAACGGCAUGGAGACCUACGGCAAACCUAUUGGCAUCGAGGACUCAGUGUCCCUGGACUUGGUGGUGAUGGGGUCUGUCGCCGUCUCCAAGGAGGGGUACCGCAUUGGCAAGGGUAGAGGCUAUGGCGACUUGGAGUUUGGCCUGAUGAUGCACAUGAAGGCAAUCAAGCCCAACACACUGGUCGCUACCACUGUCCACGAUUGUCAGGUAUUCGACACCCUGCCCGCCGAGCUGUUUGGACCGCACGACGUGCCCAUUGAUAUCAUCGUCACACCAACCCAGGUGAUAGAGACGCAACGCAUGAGCCAGCGGCCAGGCGGCGUGCUGUGGCACUUGCUGUCCAACCGCCGUCUGCAACUGAUGCCGGUACUCGGACAACUGCGCGACAUUGAGAUGCUCGCGGGGCGCGCGUGCACGCUGAAGGAGGUGGACACGGACGUGGAGGACGGCGCCGCGCCGCGCCCACGGCGCAUGCGGCGGCGCACGCGCUCGCACAAGAGCCACAGCGAGGGGGAGGGCAACACGACAGAGGGCGAAGAAGGCAAGUCCACGGGCAAGCCCCGCCGCACGGCGCGGCGCCGCAACAGCAACAAGUCUGCCAAGGAGGGUGCUGAGCAGAAGCCGCGCCGCCCCAAGCGCCCGCGCCCCGCCAUCGACUUCUCUGUCAAGAUUUCGAACAUAAGCCCGAACAUUCGAGUCCGCGAUCUGAAGCAGGCGCUAUCCGAGCGUGGAGUCAAGCCGCAGAUCAUGGUGUGGAAGGGAUUCCGCGGUUUCUGCUACUUGCACUUCUUCAAGCCUGGACCACAAAAGGGCGAAGGCGACAGCACUACAACUAUAAACAUGGAGAGCGUCCUCGCAGCUCUCAACGAGAUGUCAGUGGGCGGCAGCGGCGGCGCCGACGAGCCGCGCGACGACAAACCGCGCCUGCUGACCGUGGAGCCCGCGCCGCCCCGCGCCGCCGCCGAGCCGCAGCCGCAGGAGGUAGGACCAGCACCCUAGGUCGGCACCAGCCGCGCCUGCAGCCCGUGGAGCCCGCGCCGCCGCCGAGCCGCAGCCGCAGGAGGUCCACUGAUUCCCUCGGCGCGCCCUCGACUCGACACGACUCUGAUCCACGCAACGAUGUCGCUUACUGCACACGGACUGACGGACCUCCUCAUUCCGACUCUAAUUGUUUUAAGGUUGAUUUUUCACGCCGGCCCGCGAAUUAGCAUUUCUCUAUUGCGUAUUUUAUUGUUUAGUUUUUGAGCCAAGUCGGCUGCAUAUUAAGCAAUAGAAGUUAAAAAGCUCGACCGGAGAAGCGAAGGAUUUUAGUUGACGUCGGCAUUAUGACGCUCGCUUGGUUUUUGUUUAUAUUACUUGCAUUCGGGCCGGCCCCUAGUGAGCUAUUUGAAACGCGAAAGUCUUAAAAGAAUGUUUAGUUUCUCUAGUCUAAAAUUAGCUAUGUAAUUUUAAAACGGCUUACUUUAUUUACGAUUUCUCGUUUCAAUGCGUACUUUUAAGCAUUCUUCCAUAUUAACUAUAUUAAAGAAGCUAUAUUUUUAGUAUAAAGAUAGCAUAGAACACUGAAUUAUAUAUUAAAGAGAUAUUUUUUAAUACUGUAAGGUGCUUGAGAACGGCAUUCCAAACUGCGUUUAGAAAUUAGUUUGGAAGGAUUUGAUUAGUGUUAAGAGUAUUUAUUUACACAACGCUAGUUUGGGGCGCCGUUCAGGUCUUGUUGUAUAUUUGUGCCAACUAUAAGUAACUGCAAGUAAUACUAUAAUCUCGUGUAUACGGUGUAGGGCCGCUUAACGUAAAUAAUCUCCUAGAGCUAACUUAUAACAUAUCGAUUAUAGUAAGUUGGUAUAAAUAUUAUCUCAACUCUAAGAUUGUCAGUUACUUUUUCAGUAUUAGGUUAAACGUAAAUUUAAGACUCGAAAAGUAAUAUAUUCUUGACAUAAUAAGAUGAAUAUUUAAACUAAUAUAUAUUUUAGAGUUGUGUCUAUCGCGCAAUAUUGGUCUCUUUUAGUGUUUAAAACAUAAAUAUUGUAUUUUAUAUAGAAGGGUCAAUUUUAUUGAUGUAUUUUUUGAAAAUUUUCGUUGAUCCUGGCAGCAUAAUAGAUUGAGAUACCUUAUUAAUAUAAGCGUUUGUCUGUUAUAGUUUCUUGUAGUACACUUGCACUGAAUGUGCCCAUAAGAUGUUAUAUCUCACGAUUUUAGCACUAUGAAAUAUAUAUUUAUGUAUAUAACUUGUUAACACAUGUUUACUUGUUUAUUUUGUAUUCUUAUAACGUUGGGAUAGCAAGCAUGGAUGAGUUUUUUUGUUUUGUAUUUUUUUAAAUAAAUCUAUUAAACACUUA